rnacentral:rRNA from 1 species
CCUACGGGAGGCAGCAGUGGGGAAUCUUGGACAAUGGGCGCAAGCCUGAUCCAGCCAUGCCGCGUGAGUGAAGAAGGCCUUCGGGUUGUAAAGCUCUUUUGUCAGGGACGAUAAUGACGGUACCUGAAGAAUAAGCCCCGGCAAACUUCGUGCCAGCAGCCGCGGUAAUACGAAGGGGGCUAGCGUUGUUCGGAUUUACUGGGCGUAAAGCGCACGUAGGUGGAUAGUUAAGUGAGGGGUGAAAUCCCAAGGCUCAACCUUGGAACUGCCUUUCAUACUGGCUGUCUCGAGUUCGGAAGAGGUGAGUGGAAUUCCUAGUGUAGAGGUGAAAUUCGUAGAUAUUAGGAAGAACACCGGUGGCGAAGGCGGCUCACUGGUCCGAUACUGACACUGAGGUGCGAAAGCGUGGGGAGCAAACAGGAUUAGAUACCCUUGUAGUC